AUGGGAACGCGAAGAACCUUACCUACUCUUGACAUCCAGAGAACUUAGCAGAGAUGCUUUGGUGCCUUCGGGAACUCUGAGACAGGUGCUGCAUGGCUGUCGUCAGCUCGUGUUGUGAAAUGUUGGGUUAAGUCCCGCAACGAGCGCAACCCUUAUCCUUUGUUGCCAGCGGUUAGGCCGGGAACUCAAAGGAGACUGCCAGUGAUAAACUGGAGGAAGGUGGGGAUGACGUCAAGUCAUCAUGGCCCUUACGAGUAGGGCUACACACGUGCUACAAUGGCGCAUACAAAGAGAAGCGACCUCGCGAGAGCAAGCGGACCUCAUAAAGUGCGUCGUAGUCCGGAUUGGAGUCUGCAACUCGACUCCAUGAAGUCGAAAUCGCUAGUAAUCGUAGAUCAGAAUGCUACGGUGAAUACGUUCCCGGGUCUUGUACACACCG
rnacentral:rRNA from 1 species